rnacentral:rRNA from 1 species
CGUUAGCGGCGGACGGGUGAGUAACACGUGGGUAACCUACCUAUAAGACUGGGAUAACUCCGGGAAACCGGGGCUAAUACCGGAUAAUACAUGAAACCGCAUGGUUUCAUGAUGAAAGACGGUUUUGCUAUCACUUAUAGAUGGACCCGCGCCGUAUUAGCUAGUUGAUAAGGUAACGGCUUACCAAGGCGACGAUACGUAGCCGACCUGAGAGGGUGAUCGGCCACACUGGAACUGAGACACGGUCCAG